rfam:Halomonas meridiana strain R1t3 scaffold_100, whole genome shotgun sequence.
UCUCCCGCGAGGGAGAAUCUGAAGGAAGCCCGAGGCAAAACGCUGGCCUGACGAACAGGAAGCGGAUACGAGGCGUCAUGGUGGGGUAAGGUGGCAGCAAUCACCAAAGCCCAAUACUUGCACGGAACGCCAUGAGGUAAAUCCGACAGGCAUAAGCGGGAAGGUCGCGCGU